rnacentral:lncRNA from 1 species
CUAACAAAAUAUGUGACUUUCUUACCAGGACAGAAAUACCUUAAGGACAAAUUUUCAGUCAUGAUGACAGCUAAAUAAGCAGUUAAUGUGUAGUAUAUAUAUUUGAGAAUAUAUAUGAACUUCAGUUACUUAAAGUUAAAACCAAAACUAGCCCUUUUCUUUCUGGUAUUUUUGGAGAUGCAAAAGUAAUUAUUUCAAUAGAGUCAAAAGCUUCUGUGUUGUUUUUCUGCCAGUUCUUCCCUGGAAAGUUAAUUUAAUUAUUUGACUUACCUGCCCAGUAAUUUCAGGAGGCCCAUAGUAAUUUAACUGCAUGGACUGUAAAAUGUCACACAAACUAAUAAUAUACUGAAAUAUUAACUGAAUGUUACAAAAAUCAAUACGAGUCAAAGGUAGAGGAAGAGAAGAAACAAGUGAAAAUUAAACAAUGGAUAUACUAUAUGGAUCUGGAGGAUGAUGGAUAGGCUGAGGGUUAAGAUUAAAAAAUGAAAGUUCUAGAAGAUAUUGAAAAUGAAAGAAAACCAACUGACAAAUAAAUUAUUGAACCUAAACCUGCAAAGACAUGCAUCAGGGGAACUAAUUACACUGUUCAAUAUUUAAUUCAUUAAGCCUUUUUUUUUUUUUCCCCUGGGCAGGCCAACUUCUGAUUUGAUCAACAUGGCCGGAUGGAGAUGUUAGAAGAUUUAAAAUAUUUCUCACUCCCACUUUGUUGCCUGCCAGUGCCACAGAAUGGACAGCAGGGGAAGGACCUUUUCCUUCCUCCACAGUGAUGAUAAAGAACAGGAAAAGAGAUGGACCCCAAGGUGUUUUAGAGAUUUCUUUGUAUGCUGUGAUAAUAACAGUACAUGGAUCACUGCACUCAUGCUGAAAUAUAGACUCCUCUAGGUUGGAAGGCAGAGACAUCUCCCACUGCCAGGAGCACUACACAGCAUAUUAAGGCAGAAAUGAAGGCUACUUUAUCCUCUUGUGCCCACAGGUGAAUGCAGGUAGGAUGGACUUUAUUUCCUUGUGAUAUAAUUUAGCCAGGAAACGAGAACCAACAGUGUCAG